GCGAGAGAGCGAGCGAGCCUUGCAACAUGGCCUCCUCCUCCUCCCCUUCUGCCUCCGCCGCCUUUUCUCCAGGCGGGGAUGCCCGAGAACUGGACCAGGUUUAUCACAGGCACCAUCCUCCUCAAAGCUCUCGAAAGGUAAGUGAAUGUGGCAUUGGCCACCCCCUUAAUCGCUUUCUUUGGCUCUUAUUGCUGAUGCCCAGUUAUGGAAUAAAAACAAUAAGUCACUAGGGAAAACUUGACAUGCAGGUAUUGUGGAUACACCUGGAGUAUAUAUAUUCUGAGGAAGAUGGUAAGUGCCUGUUUUCCAUCUUGGCCUUACUUAGCCCAUGACCUCUUCUGAGGGUCUGAAUUUGUUGUUGACACCCAUCAACGCCCUCCUGGUAAUGAGCUCUGUUUCUCUCUGCUGAAAGGGAGGUAAAAAAUGAGAACCGCUUUGAUGGCUAGCUAUUGAUUUUUCUACAGAUCCUUCCCAGAUUGCAAGGUUUUAUUGGCCAGGAACCCACUGAUAGGUGUCAGCACUUCGCUUCAAAUUUCAGUAAUUUAUUAUAGAAUCAAGUUUGAAAAGUCCGAAGUGAAGUCUUAUUAAGGAAGCAUUUUGAAACUAGGAUUGGAGGAAGCUCAAAGGAAGAGCUCAAAACUAGGCCUUGGUCAAAACGAGAUAAUUUUCAGUUUAAGAUGUAUAACAUAAUGAUUGGACUUUGCCAGCAUUGCUGUUAAAUAGAAAAGAAAGUGAAUUGUGGUAUUUUCCUCUUUUUCUGACUACAUGGCUCAGGGAAGUUUAACCAAGGUUUUUUCUUAAGCUUUAUGUUAAAAAUUGCAUCAUAGAAACUGACCUGUUUCCUGUAUUUAUCCAGAACAUAAAUAUUAAUUAAACACUCUGGCUUUAUAAUACUGCUACCCCUAAGUAAUUAUAGGCACCAGUAUCUAUACAUUCUAUGUCUCCUCUUUAUAAUAACAUCACACACCUAAUGUACUAUGUGCGAACUUUUACCAUUUUAUUCUUCUUAGAGACAGCAUUAGCCUAUGUGUUUGGUACCUAUUUAAAUUUAUCCAUAAGGGCUGCUGAACUAUCUGAAUUUGGUCUUGAAUGCGCUGAUAAUGCCUUUUCCUCCAGCGAUUUGACGGCAUCUUUUCUCUACUUCUCUUCUAAGCAGUAGUUAGAAUGCUUUCCUGAAACCAAAAUUAGCAUUAAGAUUCAUGCAAAUCUCAGUGGUUUCAAUAGAACUUUAAAAGUAACUUUAGAAUGGUUUCAUGUAUGCCAGGAUUCAUAUUAAUUUCACUUCCAAGGCAAAAGCUACCGGUAGUGAACAGUCUUCAGAAGUGAACUUGACCUGAAGCAGAUACAUAAUAAGCAUUUAACAGCGAAGCUAACACCAGCCUUAAAAUUCAUGUCAGUUUAAAAUAGUGUUUGAAGUAGCCCUUCAGGUUUCUCAGAUUGGGGAACUUGACCCUGAUGGUUGUGGAUGAUGAUGAUGAAGAUGAACUGUGCAAAAUGAGGGAAUAAUACAAUUUAAUCUGACCGGAGUGGAAGCCUUGCAGUUUGAGAGUAGUAAGAUCUGUGCUUCUGAACUGCAGCUAAAAAGUGAAGAGCUGAUUUUUAAAGUAGUAUUUCUGACUAUAUCUUAUAAAACGAAUACUGUUUUCUGGUUCUUGCAAUAUAAAGUCACCUGAGGGGUUGUAUUUUCAGAAACAUUGUGCUAGUUAACACAUCAUCAUUGUCUGACCACAAUGAAAGGAGAACAUGAUUUAUGUUCACCUGCAAUACUUCCAUGGCUUGUCUUUCAGCUGAGUGUGAGCUUCAGUGUAUCUGGAGAAAUGUUUCAGAAAUUUGGGUACUAACCUGUUCAUAAUGUUGCCAAUUCGUAGUAUAGCUCAAAACAUGUUUUUUUUU